rnacentral:rRNA from 1 species
ACGAACGCUGGCGGCGUGCUUCACCCAUGCCAGUCGAACGGAAAGGCCUGCUUUCCCUUGUGGAUUGCGGGUACUCGAGUGGCGAACGGGUGAGUAACACGUGAGUGAUCUGCCCCCAACUUGGGUAUAAGCCUGGGAAACUGGGUCUAAUUCCCGAUAGGACUGCAGGGUGGUGCCUGUGGUGGAAAACGAUUUUCUAGUGGUUGGGGAUGAGCUCGCGGCCUAUCAGCUUGUUGGUGGGGUAAUGGCCUACCAAGGCGGCGACGGGUAGCCGGCCUGAGAGGGUGGACGGCCACAUUGGGACUGAGAUACGGCCCAGACUCCUACGGGAGGCAGCAGUGGGGAAUAUUGCACAAUGGGCGGAAGCCUGAUGCAGCGACGCCGCGUGGGGGAUGACGGCCUUCGGGUGGUAAACUCCUUUCGACCGCGAGGAAGCCACCUGGUUGGAAGGGUGGUGACGGUAGUGGUAGAAGAAGCACCGGCUAACUACGUG